rnacentral:piRNA from 1 species
UAAGAACUGAGUUGGAAUUGUGAUG